rnacentral:rRNA from 1 species
AUUGAACGCUAGCGGGAUGCCUUACACAUGCAAGUCGAACGGAGUGGCGAACGGGUGAGUAACACGUGGGUGAUCUGCCUUGCACUCUGGGAUAAGCUUGGGAAACUGGGUCUAAUACCGGAUAGUGCAAGAUGAGCUCGCGGCCUAUCAGCGUGUUGGUGGGGUAAUGGCCUACCAAGGCGUCGACGGGUAGCCGGCCUGCGAGGGUGUACGGCCACAUUUGGACUGAGAUACGUCCCAGACUCCUACGGGAGGCAGCAGUGGGGAAUAUUGCACAAUGGGCGGAAGCCUGGUGCAGCGACGCCGCGUGUGGGAUGACGGCCUUCGGGUUGUAACCUCCUUUCGACAGGGACGCGGUACCUGUAUAAGAAGCACCGGCUAACUACGUGCCAGCCGCCGCGGUAAUAC